rnacentral:rRNA from 1 species
GGGGGCACGGGGGGCCUACGGGAGGCAGCAGUGGGGAAUUGUUCGCAAUGGGCGAAAGCCUGACGACGCAACGCCGCGUGGAGGACGAAGAUCUUCGGGUCGUAAACUCCUGUCGAGCGGGAAGAAUACCAUUCGGGUCAAUACCUUGAAUGGCUGACGGUACCGCUAAAGGAAGCCCCGGCUAACUCCGUGCC